rnacentral:rRNA from 1 species
CAAGUCGAGCGAAUGGAUUAAGAGCUUGCUCUUAUGAAGUUAGCGGCGGACGGGUGAGUAACACGUGGGUAACCUACCCAUAAGACUGGGAUAACUCCGGGAAACCGGGGCUAAUACCGGAUAAUAUUUUGAACUGCAUAGUUCGAAAUUGAAAGGCGGCUUCGGCUGUCACUUAUGGAUGGACCCGCGUCGCAUUAGCUAGUUGGUGAGGUAACGGCUCACCAAGGCGACGAUGCGUAGCCGACCUGAGAGGGUGAUCGGCCACACUGGGACUGAGACACGGCCCAGACUCCUACGGGAGGCAGCAGUAGGGAAUCUUCCGCAAUGGACGAAAGUCUGACGGAGCAACGCCGCGUGAGUGAUGAAGGCUUUCGGGUCGUAAAACUCUGUUGUUAGGGAAGAACAAGUGCUAGUUGAAUAAGCUGGCACCUUGACGGUACCUAACCAGAAAGCCACGGCUAACUACGUGCCAGCAGCCGCGGUAAUACGUAGGUGGCAAGCGUUAUCCGGAAUUAUUGGGCGUAAAGCGCGCGCAGGUGGUU